CGCGUCCAACGCUCACGUCACGCCUUAAUGCGGUGCUACACUACGCCAUCAAGGUGGACAGACGGGUGUAUAAAUAUGUGUCCAUACCCCCUAUAUGAAUUAAACACUCAUAUAGGGCUACUACGCUCACGUCACACCAUAAUGCGGCUAUAUGCUACGCCAUUAAGGUGGACAGACACAUAUGGCUAGCUAGCAUUUAUAUACAUACUCUCUCAUAAAUACAUAUUUAUAUCCACCGAAAAACUCUCUCUCAGAGAAAUAAAAGCGUCAAAAUUAAUUGACGGUAAAACUCCAACAAAAGGAAAUGUUCAAUCAUGAACCAUAGCAUGCAUAUUAUUUCAAAUAAAGUCCACUCACGAAUUAGGCCUAAGCCUGAUGUCAAUCUGGGGUCUCGUCUGCUCGAGCCUCUUCACGUCCUGUUCCAAAUAUAAUAUUAAUUUCCCAACCAAUAUCCAAUAUUUAAUCAAAAUAGGCAAAAUUACCCGAGAGCCAUUAAUACGCUCAUCAUUGCCUAACUUUGAUAUUCUUACAUCGGAACAAUCCGAACUUAAAUAUCAUACUCAACAGUCGUAAAUACAACCUCUCCAAAAUACGACUUAAAUCCUACGGCCGGAUUCUACAUUAAUUAACCGCCAAAAAUACCAAACUUCGGAAAUUCACAAACCUAUCCAAAUCUCAUCCAAAAAUUCCAUAAUUCACUUCAAUAAUAUCCCCUUAAUAUUCUACAUCAAAAACCAUAAAAUUUCCCAAAACAGCGGCGGCGCCGCCGGCGGCUCCGCCGGCAGCGGCAGCCGGCGACCAACUCUGGCAACCUGCAAAUGCUACCAAAUUUUAACAGAAUCUUCCUCUCAAUCUCCUCUACAACUUUCAUGACCAACACAAACUCCAAUUCUAAGCCUAAUCAUGUCGAUCGAACACAAACAACCAUAAAUCCCUAAAACUUUCAAUUAUACAAACCACCCUAACGAAAUCGAAUUAAGCCGAAACCUUUUGAGGGAUUACUCACCUAGAUGAGGGCUACAAGUUGAGCCAAAAAUCACGACCUAUGGUGGCCGGAGGACGGAACUCCGGCGAAGACACAGUCGGCGGUUCCGGCGGCUUUUCUCCUCUCCGGCGGGUUAGAGGCUCGGGGGCUAGGCCGGGGAGGGAGGAGGAGGUNNNNNNNNNNNNNNNNNNNNNNNNNNNNNNNNNNNNNNNNNNNNNNNNNNNNNNNNNNNNNNNNNNNNNNNNNNNNNNNNNNNNNNNNNNNNNNNNNNNNNNNNNNNNNNNNNNNNNNNNNNNNNNNNNNNNNNNNNNNNNNNNNNNNNNNNNNNNNNNNNNNNNNNNNNNNNNNNNNNNNCCAAAAUUUAACACCCCGAAAAAUAAUACCCGAAUAAAAAUUACCUUUUACUAGCUAAAAUUUACUAUUUUUACCAUCGUCGUAUUUUCCUCAUACGAAUAAUCCUCCGCACAUAAUCGUCCCCGAAACCCCUCUAGGGACCAAUUAAACUAUUUACUCAAUGAUCGAGACGGUAAAAUUCUUAUUAUAAUCACGCUAGUAAAUAAGGUAAAAAUAUAAGGGUCGGGAUGUGACAAAAUAGGCCUAAGCCUGAUGUCGAUCCGAGGCCUCUUCUGCUCGAGCCUCCUCACGUCCUGUUCCAAAUGUAUAAUUAAAUUCCCAACCGAAAUUCUAAUAUUUACACAAAAUAGGCAAAAUUAAAUGUGAGCUUUAACCACGCUCAUCAUUGCCUAACUUUGAAAGUCCUAAUUCAAAACGUUUCAAUCUUCAAUACCAUACUCGGCAACCUUAUUACAACCUUCCACAGAUUAAACAACUUUAAUCCAACAGCCGGAUUCUAUCCUAAUUAACCGUCAAAAUACCAAAAUUUGAAAAAUCUCAAACCUAUCCAAAACUCUUCCAAAAAUUCAAGACUUCACAAAAUUAAACUCCCCUUAAUAUAUCACAAUAAAAACCAUAAAAAUACCCUAAACAGCGGCGACCUCCAAUGUCUACCAAAAUUUGACAACAUCUUCCUCUCAACUCGCUCUACAACUUUCCUAACUAGCACAAACACCAAUUCCAAGCCUAACUAGGCCAAUCGAACGAAAACAUAGAAUUGAGCCCUAGAACUUCUACUCACCGAUUCUUCUCACCUGAAGCAAACUAGAUUGAGUCCUUUUAAGGCAAGGCUACUGGGUUGAAGACCUUCAAAAUCAUAUAAAGCUUGCCCAGAUUGGUGGCCGGAGGAGGAAGUUCCGGCGACAGAACACCAUGAACCACCGGAGCUCUCUCGGGCGCGAUAACUCCUUCACGGCGGUGCUAGAGAGGCUGCCACGGGUCCAGGAAGGAAGAGGAGGUGAUGGUUGACCGUUUGGGACCAGUGUGAUGGUUUACGAUGGCCGGACGGUGACGGACUACUGUUUUGAAAUUCCGACAGGGAGAGAGGGAGGGAAUCGGGAGAGAGAGAGAGGAAAAAGAGGGAGAGAGUGUUGGGCCUUUCUCCUCCCAACUGGUCCUAACCCACCAAAUAAACCCAACUCCAAAAAUUAACACCCCAAAAAUAAUACCUUAUUAAAAAUUACAUUUUUACUAGCUAAAAUUUACAAUUUUUACUAUCGUCAAAUAUUUCUCCCACGAAUAAAUCAUCCGAAAUAAUCGUCCCUCAAAACCCCUCUAGGGACCUUUGAAACUAUAAACCUAUUAACAAAGACGGUAAAACUCUUAUUAUUACCAAGCUAGUAAAUAAGGUAAAAAUUUAAGAGUCGGCAUGUGACAAGCAUAGCAUCGAAGAGAUAUGAGUUUUGGGAUAGAGUUUAUGACCGGAUGAUAGUUUAGACAUUUUGUCUAAGAUGUGGGUCGGAGUCUGAAAGGUGGGGCCUCAUGUCGAGGCCAACUCAUCUUGGGACGUCAUGUUUAGAGUCAAACUCGAAAUUUUAAGAAAACUGAUGAAAAUUGAAAGUAUAAGGACCAUCAUGAUUAAAAAAGAAAAGUAUAGGGACCAAACUGAUUUUAACCUCAAAGUUUGAGUAGGCAAACUGAAUUUAAACAAGCAAGGUUUUAAAAUAGACUACUAUUAGGCCAUCUCCAACAAUGGGUCUAAAACCUAAAAUAGGUUUAGGAUUUAAAAUAUCUCAUCACCAACCUAUAUUCCAAAUUGAGCAACUAAUAAACUUGAUUUUAGAAGCUUUAAAUCUAUUUUUUGGAGUAACAAAUGGAGUUCUAAAGCUUCAAAACAGAAAAGGAACAAUUCCAAAACAUUAGAACGAUUUUAAACACAUCAAACAUUGAACCAAAAAGAUCCAAAAUUUGAUUUGGACUCCCAAACUCAAGAACCAUGUUCUUGAGCUUCAACCACAACGAUUCUAAUCAGAAACAUCCUAAUCAAAUUAGAAUUUGCUUUUAAACAUAUGUCUGAGAAUUUGAACUUCCAACUAUAAUCAAAUAUAAGAAUCAUAACCAAAAUCUCAAAAUCUAAAAUCAAAGUAAAUAGAAUUGACAGAAUCUAAGAACAAAUUGAAAUAACGCUAGAACAAGAAUUGAAUCUACCUUUGCCAAAAACGAAAUUGAAAGGGGUUCUACUCUCUCUGUCUGUGUUUCAUGUUUCUGUCCCAAAACUCUCUAUUUGUUCUAUCAAAAGUUUUUCCGACUUCCCCAUCCUCAUCUCAUACCAUAGGCCUAGACCCUACUCCCUAGGCUAGUCGGCUAAUCUAU
rnacentral:lncRNA from 1 species